ACUUGUUCAGAUACAUUCAAACCAACUAUCAUCAGAGUCACUGAUAUACCAAAAACUAUUACGGAAUACUACUAAUUAAUCAAUAUCAGUAUAAUCAUCAGGUCUCGAGGGCUCUCGCAGAGCUCAUCAACUUCAAAUUAACCCAUACUCCUAAUUUCCGAAAGCAUCUGUCUAAGUUUCUUCAGUUGCAGGGUGAAAUCAUUCCGAUUAUCAAUCUUCUAAAGCUUUGUCAACUUAUUGACAUCUCAACGAAAGAAGCUUUGUCUCAACAAUGUCAACGCGUCUUUCCUCUCAUCUGGUUCAGGCGCAAAGCAGGUCAUGAGAAAGAGUUUUGCAUCACAAGGAAGAUUAGGCGGAAACAAUGGCUCGUAACACUUCAUGAGAUCUUCUAGUUCAUAGUUAGUAUGCCACCAUGGUCUCUUCCCAGUGUACAUCUCCAACACAACACAUCCCAACGACCAUAAGUCAAGUCCUUUCCCUAUCUCCCCGUGAGAGAUAGACUCCGGCGACAUAUAGAUCGGUGUUCCCGCAUACGAUUUAAGAGGAUGCCACCACGUAGUGUCUCCAUCUCUUUUCGACAACCCAAAAUCAGAAAUCUUCAAUUUGAGAUCGCAGACAGAACCAGGGAAAACAAGGAUGUUCUCGGGUUUGAGAUCGCAGUGAACAUAGCCGUGUCUGUGAAUUGUGGCUAAACCCUCGAGAAGCAUACGAGUAAACUUUCUGAUCAUCGGAUCAGGCAAUUUUUUGUCGUUGAAUCGGUCCAUGAAAUCGCUCAAGCUUCCUCCGGCUGCGUACUCCAUAGGAAUCGUGUACUCUACGUAACCCUUGUCGUUAAGUCUCUGUUCUACUCCGCUACCGUAGCAUUGGACGAUUCUCGAGCAACCCUUGAAUUUAGACAGAAUCUGAAACUCUUCGUAGAGAGACUUAGCAUCGUCAGAGGUUUUCACGGCGGCGUAGAGAGUCUCAACGUCGCAUCGUCUUUUAUAACUGAAAAGGCUCACCGAUCCAAACGAACCUUCCCCCAGAUACCUUUCGAACUCCAUUGCAAAUAGAACGAUUGAUUCUUUUGAUAGCUUUUGGCAACAAAACCCUAAUUGACUGAAAUAUCUGAGAAUUUGUAAUAGCUUGGAAACCAAAUCUCAAGUUGUUUCUGAAUAAAUAUAACAUCAGAUAAUUACGAGAAUUUAUAUUUAUCCCAACAUUUUAAAUUGGUUUAAGGUCUAUCAUUUAUCCCAACUAUUUUAAAUUGGUUUAAGGUCUAGCAUUUAUCCUAGUUUCAGACGAAAGUGACUUUAUAACUUUAUUUGCUUUCAUAAGAACAAAACAAAACUCAUCUUGUAUACAUUUUGAGAGCUAACGGUAUGAUUCCAGAAUUU
rnacentral:sRNA from 1 species